rnacentral:rRNA from 1 species
AGUGAACGCUGGCGGUAGGCCUAACACAUGCAAGUCGAACGGCAGCACAGUAAGAGCUUGCUCUUACGGGUGGCGAGUGGCGGACGGGUGAGGAAUAAAUCGGAAUCUACUUUUUCGUGGGGGAUAACGUAGGGAAACUUACGCUAAUACCGCAUACGACCUACGGGUGAAAGCAGGGGAUCUUCGGACCUUGCGCGAUUGAAUGAGCCGAUGUCGGAUUAGCUAGUUGGCGGGGUAAAGGCCCACCAAGGCGACGAUCCGUAGCUGGUCUGAGAGGAUGAUCAGCCACACUGGAACUGAGACACGGUCCAGACUCCUACGGGAGGCAGCAGUGGGGAAUAUUGGACAAUGGGCGCAAGCCUGAUCCAGCCAUACCGCGUGGGUGAAGAAGGCCUUCGGAUUGUAAAGCCCUUUUGUUGGGAAAGAAAAGCAGCAGGUUAAUACCCCGCUGUUCUGACGGUACCCAAAGAAUAAGCACCGGCUAACUUCGUG